GACGAACGCUGGCGGCGUGCCUAACACAUGCAAGUCGAACGGGUGAUUUCCUUCGGGAGAUCACUUAGUGGCGAACGGGUGAGUAACGCGUGAGGAACCUGCCUUCAGUGGGGGACAACAGUUGGAAACGACUGCUAAUACCGCAUAACAUACAUGGACCGCAUGAUCUGUGUAUCAAAGCUUUAUGUGCUGAAAGAUGGCCUCGCGUCUGAUUAGCUAGUUGGUGGGGUAACGGCCCACCAAGGCGACGAUCAGUAGCCGGUCUGAGAGGAUGAACGGCCACAUUGGGACUGAGAUACGGCCCAGACUCCUACGGGAGGCAGCAGUGGGGAAUAUUGGGCAAUGGGGGAAACCCUGACCCAGCAACGCCGCGUGAAGGAAGAAGGCCUUCGGGUUGUAAACUUCUUUUAGCAGGGACGAAGAACGUGACGGUACCUGCAGAAAAAGCAACGGCUAACUACGUG
rnacentral:rRNA from 1 species